rnacentral:rRNA from 1 species
AGGAUUAGAUACCCUGGUAGUCCAUGCCGUAAACGUUGGGCGCUAGAUGUGGGGACCAUUCCACGGUUUCCGUGUCGUAGCUAACGCAUUAAGCGCCCCGCCUGGGGAGUACGGCCGCAAGGCUAAAACUCAAAGGAAUUGACGGGGGCCCGCACAAGCGGCGGAGCAUGCGGAUUAAUUCGAUGCAACGCGAAGAACCUUACCAAGGCUUGACAUAUACCGGAAACGUUCAGAAAUGUUCGCCCCGCAAGGUCGGUAUACAGGUGGUGCAUGGUUGUCGUCAGCUCGUGUCGUGAGAUGUUGGGUUAAGUCCCGCAACGAGCGCAACCCUCGUCGUAUGUUGCCAGCACGUAAUGGUGGGAACUCAUAUGAGACUGCCGGGGUCAACUCGGAGGAAGGUGGGGAUGACGUCAAAUCAUCAUGCCCCUUAUGUCUUGGGCUUCACGCAUGCUACAAUGGCUGGUACAAUGGGCUGCAAUACCGCGAGGUGGAGCGAAUCCCAAAAAGCCAGUCUCAGUUCGGAUUGGGGUCUGCAACUCGACCCCAUGAAGUCGGAGUCGCUAGUAAUCGCAGAUCAGCAACGCUGCGGUGAAUACGUUCCCGGGCCUUGUACACACCGCCCGUCAAGUCAUGAAAGUCGGUAACACCCGAAGCCGGUGGCCUAACCUUUUGGAGGGAGCCGUCGAAGGUGGGAUCGGUAAUUAGGACUAAGUCG